UACAGAGGUCCCGAGCGUUGUUCGGAUUCACUGGGCGUAAAGGGUGCGUAGGCGGUCGGGUAAGUCUGAUGUGAAAUCUCACAGCUUAACUGUGAAACUGCAUUGGAUACUAUUCGGCUUGAGGUCUGGAGGGGGGACUGGAAUUCUUGGUGUAGCAGUGAAAUGCGUAGAUAUCAAGUGGAACACCAGUGGCGAAGGCGAGUCUCUGGACAUUUCCUGACGCUGAGGCACGAAAGCCAGGGGAGCAAACGGG
rnacentral:rRNA from 1 species